rnacentral:rRNA from 1 species
UACGGAGGGAGCUAGCGUUGUUCGGAAUUACUGGGCGUAAAGCGCACGUAGGCGGCUUUGUAAGUUAGAGGUGAAAACCCGGGGCUCAACCCCGGAAUUGCCUUUAAGACUGCAUCGCUUGAAUCCGGGAGAGGUGAGUGGAAUUCCGAGUGUAGAGGUGAAAUUCGUAGAUAUUCGGAAGAACACCAGUGGCGAAGGCGGCUCACUGGACCGGUAUUGACGCUGAGGUGCGAAAGCGUGGGGAGCAAACAGG